rnacentral:rRNA from 1 species
AUGUUGAUUCCAUUCCGUCUGGAGUUGCUCAUCUCCACACUCGUGCUACUCGUUCCCAUGUACUUGUACUUUAGGUCUCGUAGUAGAUCAAAGAACCCAGCAGCUCUCCCCAUAAACUGGCCAAUAAUACACAUGUUCCCUUCCUUGCUGGUCAACGUCCACAACUUGCUUGACUAUUUCACCUUGGUUCUCGCCGGUAACAGCCACAACUUCAGGGCGCAUGGCCCACUUGGGACCGGAAUGAGGUUCUUCGUUACCUGCGACCCUGCAAACAUCCGCCACAUCUUCACGACAAACUACACCAACUUCCCCAAGGGCGCGGAGUUCGCUGCCAUUUUCGACAUCAUGGGUGACAGCCUCUUCAACGUCGACGGCGCACGAGCUCUUCGUCCACGAGUGAAGAUCCAUACUGUACUCAGCAGCCCGCGGUUGGUUGCCAGUAUGGAGGCUUGCUGCCGCGACAAGGUGGUGAACAACCUUCUCCCGUUGUUUUGCCACAUGGCAAGCACCAACGCUCUAUUUGACAUGCAGGAACUAAUGUCAAGGUUUAUGUUUGACUUGGCCACUACGGCUCUAUUUAGCGUGGACCCUGGCCUUCUUUCCACAGACAUGCCGCCCAUGGACAUCGCAGUUGCCAUGGAUACGGUCAUGGAAGUAGGCUUUUUUCGGCACAUGAUGCCAGCCUCUUGCUGGAAGGUGAUGAGGUGGCUAAACAUUGGGCCUGAGAGAAAGCUUGGUGCAGCGCACACAGUACUACGAGUGUUCAUCGCAAAGAUGAUCGAACGGAGGAACAUCGACAAAGUACAUGUUAGUAAUGAUGAGGAACAAGAGGGUGUGGAUAUUCUGUCUUCCUACAUCAACGACCCAGACUUCGCCGACUACGACUUUCUCUGUGCGGGGCUCAUUGGCCUCAUGCUCGCUCUGCGGGACACGGUUCGCACGACCCUGACAUGGAUCUUCUACAACCUCGCUCAGAACCCUGACAUCGUGGCAACUAUCCGUAAUGAAUUGUUACCAAUUGCAUUACAAAAAGCACCCACGGGUGCGGGUGCCAUGGUGAUCUUUGAGCCAGAGGAGAUCAAGUCUCUGGUCUAUCUACGAGCCACCUUGUAUGAGACUCUCAGGCUCUACCCACCGGCGCCCUUGGAGCGCAAGACGGUGGCCACUGAGGAUAUCAUGCCGAGUGGCCACAAGGUGCAUGCAGGUGACACAGUCUUUGUUUCCAUCUAUUCCAUGGGAAGAAUGAGGGACGUGUGGGGUGAGAAUUGUCUGGACUAUAACCCACACAGAUGGCUCUCAAAGGACGGCAACACGCUGAGGUACGUACCGUCUCACAAGUUCUUGUCCUUCAACUCAGGCCCGAGGAUAUGCCCUGGCAAGGACAUUGCGGUUAUGCAAAUGAAGAUCAUCAUCGCCACAGUGUUGUGGAACUUCGAUGUGGAGGUAUUAGAAGGGCAGAGCAUCCGGCCCAAGUCGUCCUGUAUACUGCAAAUGGAAAAUGGGCUCAUUGUGAAGCUGAAGAAGCGACAAGCAUAA